UAGGUUGAAACCAAAUAGUAUAGGUGUUUAGCUGUUAACUAAAAAUUUACGGGAUAGAGGCCCGUCAAUCUAG
rnacentral:tRNA from 1 species